AUUCUCCUCCCCUUGCUGGUCAGCAGCCCCAGAUAAAGGAGCGGAGAGAGACAAGAAGAGAGAGUAGGCUUCUUGACACGACCUAUUUCCUCUCGACGUCUCUAGGUUCCAAGGAACUUAACUUCUUUAGCCGAGCGAGGACGUGCGGGUCGUUCUCCUACCCGCUGCGAAGGCCACCUCCUGCUCGUCUUUCUCUCUCUUAUCUGCGUUUCCUCCAGCGUAGUGUCCCCACGCGUGUAGCUUCUACAGGCGCCGACUUCAGCAGCCGCUGCUCUACGAAUCGAUCCGGCCGCGUGGAGAUCCGAUCAGGGCGGGACACCUGGUCGUUACGUACCCGUGACUGUGCCUACUGUUUCCUUCGUUAGGACUUUUGUUGUGUCUGUUGUCUUUACGUCUUCCGUUUAUCGUCACAGAACUUCUAGGUUGUAAUCUUCUCGCUCCUAUAGUACAUCUUUAGUGACUGUGCCUUCAAAGAUGUUACCAAACAUUGGAAAAGUUAUUUAUAGGUAUAAAAAAGACUCAAAAUAAUCAACUAUGUCCCCAAUUGAUCCAUUGUGCCCUACAAUUGAUCGACAAAACGGCACAGUUGUACAGAUACAUGAGAACAACUUUGAUCCAUCUCCUCGUAGACGUUCGACGAUCAGUUGAAGUCAUGACUUUUUGUUGUAUACAACGAGACUAGUUAAGGUACUUGUUACCUGUCGUGUCAAGUCAAAUCAAUCAAGACUUGUCGUUGAGGACAGGAGCAUGUAGGUAUUAGAAAACAUAAAUAUAACCGACCCGGACCGGACG
rnacentral:rRNA from 1 species